CCUUAUGGUGGAUUGUACGGGAGAGCAGAAAUGCUCGCCGUUUCUCUUGAGCGGUACGCCAAUUCCGUGCAAUCCAUCACCAUU
rnacentral:antisense_RNA from 1 species